CCUUUAUUUAAAUUGUCAUUUGAUGUUUAUUUUAAAUAACCUUUUGACAGUUUGACCCGGAAGUAUUUUUCCGUAACAAAAUACGGUUUACUAAUAGCAACAGAUAUUAUGGCGGAAAAUUUGAAAAACACUUGAACAUUUUAUGAAAAUGUCCCAGUUGAGUGAAGCAAGCACCACCCCUUACGAAUUAAGCCAAGACCAUUUAUUUCGCGAAGAGUUAUUAGAAGUUGAUAGACUUUAUUUUCAUGUUUUGUGUCCAGAGAGUUCUGGUGCAAGUGAUUUAGUCAGUCUGAUUCAGAAAAUGAUUCUAGCCAUGAAAGUAAUGCUGUCAAUGAUGAAUCAGAUGAUGAUAUAUGUAAUGCAGAGACUGUUCAGUGUGAAAGUUUUGACCAUGAUUUAGAACCUUCUGCAGAGUAUUUAAGACAGAGAAAGAAAACUGAUGAUUUCUUUGCUCAGACCUGCAAGUGUGAAAAACUUUAGGCAAACCAUGCAGUCAAGUUGUCGAUGGUAAUGAUAUAACUGACUUACGUAUGUAUUCAGCCGGUAUGCAGACAGAUGAACUUGAUCUUGUUAUUAAAUCAGCCAUGUUGUGCCACAGAAAAAAUGGCCAACAAACUGACAGUUGUAAACAUAAACGGCAGGAGAGGGUUAGGCCCAGUCAGUAGUUUUAUAUUAAGGGAGUUGAAGUUUGCCGUGAGGUAUUCUGUUUCGCAUACAACAUCGGAAAGGAGAAACUAAAAAGAAUUGGUCGCUCUCUUGACAAUGAUGGAUUGAUUGCUAGGACUCAUGGUAAUACCAAAAGACUACCUCAUAAUGCAAUCACAUUUGAGGAGAGAACACAUAAGAAAAUUCCUCAUCUGCUAUGCAUCUGACAAUGCAAUGCCCGUUCCCGGAAGACUUCCAAACCACCGCAAUAGUAAAGUGUUGUUGUUGCCAUCUGAUAAAUCACAAGCAGACAUUCAUGUUGAAUAUGAAAAAAAUAGAGGGUGCUAGAAGCUAUGGCAUGAGUUGUGCCCACAUAUAGUCUUAGCUAAACCAAAAACAGACUUGUGUUUUAGAUGCCAAACCUUUUCUUUUAAUAUGUCACAAAGUGGUGCCCUUUCUGAAGAUGAUAAAAUGACACUUUUUGAUGAAUAUGAAAGUCAUGUUGAAAGUGCUAGACAUCAGAGGGAGCAAUAUAGAAUGCAGUGUGAUUACUCUAAAGUUACAUGUAGUGAAAACAUGAAGUUGAAGGUUCAGAGUCAUGUUCCUUAGAUGCAACCGUCCACUACAGCUGGGACUUUGCACAGCAGGUUCAUAUUCCACACCAUAGCCAACAGGUUGGACCCCUGUAUUUCAAAACUGCCGGAGGAGAUGUGAGGUAUUUGGAGUUUGCUGUGAAGGAUCUGAGAAACACCUUGCCUGGGUGAGGCACAUGCUCAGUUCCACUUUGACAAUUGCCAAGGACAACAAAAAUAAUGCCGUUCUUGGUUAUGCUGUGUGGAGAACAUUGACAGGAGGGCAUAAGACAAUCCAAUACUCACUGAUGCUAGCCGGCCACACCAAAUUUUCAUGCGACUGGCAUUUUGGAGUUUGGAAAAACAGAAUGAGAUACAUGGAUGCAGAGACAGUUGAGGAGGUGGCUUCCACAGAAGCCAUGUCAUCCCGUAAUGGCCACAACAUUCCACAUAUUGUUGAUGGCAACAGCAAACAAGUGUCGUUCUAUGACUGGAGCACCUUCUUCAAAGGCAUUUUCAAACCAUUGAAGAACAUUUCGAAAUACCAUUCAUUUGAGGUGUCUUCUAACGAGCCUGGGGUUUUAAGAGUAAGGAAGUUUGUUGAUGCCCCUGGGGAGAAAAUUAACAUACUGAAAAACUGCCAAGUGGAUAUUGGUGUUCUGCCAGAGCAGAUCUUUGGUGAGGGAAUAAGUGCAGGAAGGCAAUGGUACUUGCAUGAUGUAAAAAGAGACUUUUGCGGAUCAGAUAAUGCAAAAAAACACAACAUACCCAUUGCCAUUAGUUGCAAAAGAAGGCUAUUCAAAGGCCAAAAAACAAAAGUUGAAAUAGGCAACUUUAUUGAGAACACUUUCUGUGUGUGUUUCAGCAAAAGUUAUAGUUUGUUUCUUGCUAUAAAUAUAUUGGCAUGUGUAAGUGGAAGUUUUAUGUUUUCAUUUACAUUCAAAGAAUAUAUUUCUUUGUGUUACAUUGAUAAAAUAUUCAUGAUCUUAGGAAUGUAUGGUUUCCUUGGCAACCAAAAGUAACACACUUGAUUGAUCAUUAAAUACUUAUGUAUAAACAUGUAUUUCAAUUAUGGGAAUAUCAUUGAACAGUCGGCCAUCUAUAAGUAAAGUAUGAUGGCAUUCAUAUUUUCCAUACACGACUCCAGUAUAAUGUGAAAGUGUACAUUUAUAAGUCUAUAUGUUAAUAGUUAUACAUUAAUAUAGUUUCAAUAAUCCUUGCAUGCAUAUGUUUGUUGUCAAUUUUGUCAAAUAAGGCAUGUGUCAAUGCUUUCCUUGUAAAUACAUUUCAUUCUGUGUCAUCUUACAACUCCAAAAGAAUGAAAUGAGCAAAAAAAAAGAAUUAUUCUAGGUAUAAGUCAGUUGCUAUGGCAACCAAGUAUAACAUUCUUAUUGAUUUUAAAAAUAAUUGAUUUCACCAGACAAGUUACAUCUUUAAAAUAAUUGCUUGUUUUAAAAUAAUAUGUUUUUUGUUUUGAUUAAUACAAGGAUAAGCUGCACUACUUUUGAACAAUUAACCUUGUUUUAGAAAAGUUGCAGAUUUUCUUUACAGGGUCUAUUAUGUAUCUAAUUUAGUCAUGCUCAUGUGUACGUGAUAACUCUCUUUGUACAGACUGGUUUAAUGUUUCUAGUGGCCUAAGGCAAGGUUGCAUCUUGUCGCCAUUAGUGUUUAAUCUAUUUUAGAUGACCUAGUUAAGUACUUAAAAAUUUUAGAUGUUGGGAUCUUUAUUGAAGAUGAGAAAAUGUGUGUUUUAUUAUAUGUAGAUGACAUUGUUCUACUAGCGUCAAGCGAAGCUGCUAAACAAGUGCUUUUAAAUGCUUUAGCUGACUGGUGUAAUAUUAAUGACAUGACUAUUAAUACAACAAAGAGUAAUAUAGUUCACUUUCGUCCUCAAUCUGUACAACUCAGAAAUUUCAACUUUAUAUGUGCCAAUGACAGUUUAUAUGCAGUUGAUAAGUAUACUUACCUUGGCAUUGUUAUCAAUGAAUUUCUUGAUUAUAAUGUGACUGCUAAAGCCGUUGCUCAGAGUGCUAGCCGUGCGCUCGGGCUUCAUAUUGCUAAAUAUAAAAUCGUUGGUGGUAUGCCGUAUGCCGCAUACACUAAAUUAUAUGAUUCUAUUGUUUGGCCGAUUAUAAGUUACGGUGCAUCUAUCUGGGGUAUAAAAUCGUUUUCAUGCAUCAACGCCGUGCAUAAUAAAGCCAUGCGUUUCUUUAUCGGCGUUGGGAAAUAUACACCUAAUGAUGCUGUUUCAGGCGAAAUGGCCUGGGUACCACCGAUUAUCCGUCAGUGAAAGUCUAUAGUCGGACAUUGGUCUAGGUUGUGUAAUACACCUGUGUCUCGUAUCAAUAAACAAAUAGCUCUUUGGGCAAAUUGCAAGGCAUGUAAUACAUACAAAUCUUGGUUUUAUUAUGUAAAUGAAAAAUGAUAAGCCUUGACUUGGAUAUAUAUAUACUUAUAUGAAUGACCAUGUACCAAAAUCCAUCGUUGUUAGCCAAAUAUAUGAUAAAAUGAUGUCAGCGUAUGUCAAUGAGUGGCACGAUUCUAUUAAUAGACCAAAAGGUAUACGUGGAAGGGGUGGAAAUAAGUUAAGACACUAUUGCAAGUAUAAAAUUAAAUAUUGUGUUGAAAAUUCUUGUAAAUUGAUUAUGCCGCCAAAAAAAUAGGGCAGCGUUAAGUAAAUUUAGAUGCGGGGUAGCCCCUAUUCGAGUGGAAACAGGCCGAUUUGAAAAUCUUGCCCUAUAUGAUCUUUGCCCUUUUUGCAAUUCUGUUGAAUCAGAAAUUCAUGUGUUAUUCUAUUGUAAGUUGUAUAAAGAUAUACGAAUGCCAUUGUUAGAAAAGGCAAACACAUUUAAUCCGUUAUUUCAAAGUAUGUCCGAUAUAGAUAAGUUGUCUUUUAUUUUAGCAAAUAACAUGUUGUCAAGACUUAGUGCCAAAACCUGCAACGAUAUUCUUAAUUUUAGGAUGUUUUAUUUGUGUAAGUAAUGUUGUUGUUGUUGUUUUUUAAACUUAAAUUAUUGUGAUAUUUUACGUUUAGCUAGAAAUGAGUGGUAAUCAGUUAAUCUACGAUCUGACCGGGGUGAUAUUCGAUUUUUACACCCAUUUGGUAAGUAUGCACGCUUGUGCGCGUUCAUGUUUUCAGUAUUUUAUUUUGUUUGAUUUAACUAAGUUUUAAAACAAGAUUAGCAUUUGUUUCUAUUUUCUUACUUUUGUAUAUAUCGAUUUUAGAUGUUAAAUAAGUAAAGUAUAGCUUUAUGUUUUUGUGUGCUAUAGUCUCUUAUAACUCAUAUAUAAUCAUGUGGCAAUCCAUAUUUUAAUAUAUAUUUAAUAGGUGAUGUAUAUAUGUUGUAUUGAUGAGACUUACAUAAACUAUCAUAUAUGCUAUUUAUCGAUCCGCGCCAGUCUUGGAUAAACUGGUCACGGAGUCUAGCUUUUAACAGUAGAAGGUAUUCGGCAUUAAAACUCAAAGUUAUCAGUGUGGAAAUUUAAUCCUAAAUGAUUUAUUAUAAAUUUCCU